ACAUUCGUUUUUUGUAGGUGUAAGGAUAAAGAUGGUGACUCAAGGUCUCUUGGAAUGGCAGCCACCUUAUUUCGUUUUUUGGAUGUCGGUGACCCUUUGAUUUUGGUAUGGUGGUCACUGAAUCUUGUUUUGUUUUGUCGGAGACUUUCAUUGUCUCUUUCGAUUUUUGUUUUGAUCCCUAACUUUUGCAUGGACUGCUUUGUUGAAGCUUUAAUCCAUCGGGAUUGCCCCAGUUUUUGCCUAAGUCUCCUUUUUAGGGUGUUUGACUUAGCGGGCUCUUUUUUU
rnacentral:lncRNA from 1 species